UUUGUUUAGUGAGAAUAGAUCAGUCCAUAAAAAAAAAAUGUAUUUACAUGCUAUUAUUAUGUAUAAUGCAAUUACAGACACAGAAGUAUAUUUGAUGAGACUACUAAGAACAUUAUCACUUCCAACUGCACUGGAUACAAUUUCCAUAAACUAAUCAUACUGUUUUCUUUCUUCUUGUAUGGACCGCAAAAUCCGGGCUGCUGAUUCAGCUGCCGAUCUAGGAUUGUGAGGCACAACCCUUACCACACUUGUCCGUGGCUCAAUAGUUUGAGCAUUUUGAUCUGAAGCCUGAGCUGUUGGUUCUGUAGGAAAAAGAGGAAGUGCAUCUCCUUUAGGCCUCUCUGAGGGACCACUUGCUGUGCUUCCCUGUAACUCACUUUCCUUUGAUGCUCGAAAUUUCCCAAUAUGUGAGAUCACACGACUCAUCUGGCUUGACAUGUUACAUGAGCUCUGGUGGGGAAAAUUGAAGUUAAUGUCUCCAACUGAUGGCUGAUUAUCCUUUGAUUGGGGUCCAGUGAAUGGGCUUACCUGCUCAACUGCUGAUCCUGAAAUGGAUGGAGUCAUGACUGGCAUGCCAUAAGGUGGAAAGUAUGACUGUCCCAAAUGAGGGGUGCUGGCAAGAAUUCCAAUGCCUUGUUGGUGAGAAGCUGGAACACCAUAAGCUGCAUUCAAGAAGUCUCCGUUCCCUGCUGUUAAACUCAUAGGACCACAGUUGCCGUAAACAGGGCCCCUAAAUCCAGCAGUUGGAGGGCAUGGUCCUGUGUAGGGCUUGUAUACAAGACCCUCAGAAGGGGACAUGACUGGAACUAACCACUGAUUUCCAGGUGGUAGGAAACACCAUGGAGAUGGUCUG
rnacentral:misc_RNA from 1 species